AUGAACGCUAGCGGCAGGCCUAAUACAUGCAAGUCGAACGAGAUUAUCCAGCUUGCUGGGUAUGAAAGUGGCGCACGGGUGCGUAACGCGUAUGCAACCUACCUCAAUCAGGGGGAUAGCCCGAAGAAAUUCGGAUUAACACCGCAUAACAACACAGUACAGCAUUGUACAAUGUUCAAAUAUUUAUAGGAUUGAGAUGGGCAUGCGUGUCAUUAGCUAGUUGGCGGGGUAACGGCCCACCAAGGCGACGAUGACUAGGGGAUCUGAGAGGAUGACCCCCCACACUGGUACUGAGACACGGACCAGACUCCUACGGGAGGCAGCAGUAAGGAAUAUUGGUCAAUGGAGGGAACUCUGAACCAGCCAUGCCGCGUGCAGGAAGACAGCCCUCUGGGUCGUAAACUGCUUUUAUUCGGGAAUAAACCUUAUUACGUGUAAUAAGCUGAAUGUACCGAAGGAAUAAGGAUCGGCUAACUCCGU
rnacentral:rRNA from 1 species